AUUGAACGCUGGCGGCAGGCCUAACACAUGCAAGUCGAACGAGUGGCGGACGGGUGAGUAAUGUCUGUGAAAAUGUGCGUUGGAGGGGGGGAACACCAGUAAACGGUAGCUAAUAUCGCAUAUCAUCGGAAUUGCGCAGAUGGGAUUAGCUUGUGGGUGUGGGAACGGCUCACCUAGGCGCCGAGCCCUAGCUGUUCUGUGAGGAUGACCAGCCACACUGGAACUGAGACACGGUCCAGACUCCUACGGGAGGCAGCAGUGGGGAAUAUUGCACAAUGGGCGCAAGCCUGAUGCAGCCAUGCCGCGUGUAUGAAGAAGGCCUUCGGGUUGUAAAGUACUUUCAGCGGGGAGGCGUUACCCGCAGAAGAAGCACCGGCUAACUCCGUGCCAGCCGCCGCGGUAAUAC
rnacentral:rRNA from 1 species